CUCUCUCUCAGGUCUCCAUAUUCAGUAGACUAAAAAUAAAAAUAAAAAUGGGUUCUGGCAAUAGCAGGUUAGGGUCGAGCCGUUCCAGGUCAGGGCUCAAGCGCAGAUUACUCUCUUCCCUCUUUUGUGGCUCCUCUGUUUCUCACACUCCUAUCCAGAUAGGUGAUCAUAUGGAUUAUUCAUCAACAGAGUCUACUCAAAACUUGACUCAGCAUCAUCAUGUGUCAGUUUGCGCCAAGCAGCAGUCUCCUUCAACCUUUCGACUGGAAACUGGGUUGAAUGAUUUCCACGAUGAAACUGGAAGCAGUAGUGUUUCUGUUGGGGAUACUUCCUUCACACAUAGUUUUAGCAAUCAUUCUGAGAAUUCGGAAUUACAUUCUCAGCAGGUCAAUGUUAAUGACAGUCUCAUUGAAGCUCCUCUAGAUGGUUCUUCCUUAAAAACUCAGCCACCUGCGGAGUCACUCUCUUCUGAUGCACCACUCACAAGCAUUGUGGGUCAGGAUACUGGGAAUCUACAUUCAGAUGGGGAGACCAUAGCAGAUGCGAGUAUGGAUGGCUAUACAGCUGAAUCUAGUUCUGAUGUAUCUGGUUCCUCUAUAAAUUCUCAGCCACUUCCAAGAUCUCUCUUAUUGUCUGGGGAACAAGGUUCAAUAGGCAUGGGCGUGCUUUUGGUUGAUGUGGUGAGUAUACAUUCCAACAUUUUGUCUAGUACCAUUGCAGAAAUUAGUAACCGUGAGGCUAGAAGGAAUACUAGAAGGAUGUUUUGGGAUGCUUUCUCAAGAAACAGUUCUAGGCGGAAUAGUGAUUUCCCAACUGUUGUUUUUACAACUAGUCAUGCUGA
rnacentral:misc_RNA from 1 species